CUUGAAACAAGAUGGCAGCCAAAGCAGAAGCGCCACCAGCCCUUUUAGAACUCGUGUGUUUACAGUCCGAUACAAACCAAGCUGACAGCAUUAAGCAGCACGAGACGCCUCUUCCCUGCUUCUAAUUAAGGAGCAGAAGACUCUAGGGCCCAUGCUGCCACUUGGUUUCAGACCGCCGGGCUUCCCAGGAGAAUCUCCGAGUGGCCCACUUUAAAUACCCGAUAAACAGGAGAACAUCCCCCUCCUACGCUUCUGCUAGAGGCCCAUCUCCAAAUCCCCAGCGCUGCCAAUUAACAGCCGGGCUGGAAAUCCAAGAGAACAACCUUGAUGUGACCCACCAGCACGGAGGCGGCACUCGGCAGCAUGCAAAAGGCAGAACGCACAUACACACACACACAUACAAACAAGACUGAGAACAUUAAGAGAAUGCCGCCUUCUUCACCAACCCCACGACCUGUCAAGAUCAUCUGGGGAGGUCCGGCUGCAGUUGCUACCAGCUCGAUUGAUGGCAACACGAAUCCGGGCCUUUUCUCGAGUCGCCCCAGGACUCUGGAACGCACUUCCUAACGAAAUUAGAGCUUCUCCUUCUCUGAAUGUUUUAAAGAAGGACCUUAAAACAUACCUGUUUAGCGGGCGUUUAGUUUAUUGUUUUAAAGCUUUGGUUUUUAGAGUUUUUAUUGUAUUUUACAUGGCUUUAAUUAGGUUAGUGUUUUAAUGGUUUUUAUAUUGUGAACCGCCCAGGGACCUUUUUUGUAUCAGGCGGUAUACAGAUGUACUAAAUAAAUCAACAAUAA